rnacentral:lncRNA from 1 species
CUCAGUUUCUGGCUUCAUUCAGAACUCUGCAUGCUGCCAUGUCACUGGAGCAUCCUGCGACUUCAAGUGAGCUAUGUCUUCCAUGAGACCUAUUAGAUGUGCUCACACUGAUUCCCUACGAGACAGAUGAGAGAGACGAGCUCAGAAAGAAAUAGCCUGAAAGCAGACGAUGCAGGAUUUAUCCCGGAGCUCGAUCCCUGCUGGCUGGACCAGCUUGGAGUCACAUAUGAGGCAAAAGAGAUUUUAGCUACAUUUAUGGCUUUCAAUAAAGAUGAAAAACAAAAUUAAGUAUGUAUUUAUGUUGAGCAAUUUUAAAGAAAGACUCAGACUGGGCACGUCAUUCUCUCAGGUGAUAAAUUCCUGCUUUCAGCUAUGGAAAGACAACAUUACAAGUUUCGCAAAUUGGAUACCCAGCUUCUUGUGGAACACACGGGUCCCACCAUGUGCUUUAGCCCUUUACUCACUCACAAAUUAUUCUACCGGCACACUCUGUUAUUUCCCUGAUUUUCGAAGGAAACCUGGAUCCAUUUUUAUGUAAGCUUGUCAUGUGCCAUGCACACUUAGUAUCUUUGCU